rnacentral:tRNA from 1 species
GCCAGUGUGGCUCAGUGGCUAGAGCAUCGGCAGAAGGGCUGAAGGGUCCCAGGUUCGAUUCCGGUCAAGGGCA